rnacentral:rRNA from 1 species
GACGAAGGAUGCAAGCGUUAUCCGGAUUCAUUGGGUUUAAAGGGAGCGUAGGCGGACUUAUAAGUCAGUGGUGAAAUCUUCGAGCUUAACUCGGAAACUGCCAUUGAUACUGUAGGUCUAGAGUACAGUUGCCGUUGGCGGAAUAUGACAUGUAGUGGUGAAAUACUUAGAUAUUGUCAUAGAACACCGAUUGCGAAGGCAGCUAACGAAGCUGUAACUGACGGCUGAGGCUCGAAAGUGCGGGGAUCAAACAGG